AUGGUGGGGAUUGGAGUCAGGAUUGUCAGGAUUUCCAUCCCAAAAUGGUGUGGUUUGGAGCCACAGCUGACAUGUUUGGAGCCAGAACUGUUGGGAUUUCAUCCUCAAAUCAAUGGGGUUUGGGACCACAAUCGUUGGGAUUUCAUCCCUAAAUUGGUGGGGAUUGGAGCCACAAUUGUCAGGAUUUUGGUCCCAAAAUGGUGCAGAUUGGAGCCAAAGUCGCUGGGAUUUUGCUCCCAAAUUGGUCGGGUUUGGAGCCAGAAUUGUUGGGAUUUCAUCCUGGAACUGCAGGGAUUUGGAGCCACAAUCGUCAGGAUUUCAUCUGGGGUUUGGAGUGACAACGUUUGGGAUUUCACCCCCAAAUUGCUGGAGUUUGGAGCCAAAAUCAUCAGGAAUCGGAGCCACAAUCAUCGGGAUUUGAUUCCCAAAUCGCCAGGGUUUGGACCAAAACCAACCAGGGAUCACCCCCAAAUCGUUGGGGUUUGGGCCCAAUUUGAUGGGGUUCAGACCCUGAACUGUUGGGAUUUCAUCCCUGAAUCGCUGGGGUUUGGACCCAGAUCGCUGGGGGUUUGUCCCCAAAAUUGUUGGGGCUUGGACCCAAAAUCUCCAGGAUUUCACCCCCAAAUUUCUGAAGUUUGGAGGCAAAGUCCCUGCGGUUUUGCCCCAAAAUUGCUGGGGUUUGACUCCCAAAAUUGUCAAGAGUUUCCUCCCCAGAUUUCUGGAGUUUGGACCCAAAACAGGGAUUUUGGACCCAAAAUGCCAGGGUUUUUCCCGCAAAUUGCUGGGGUUUCAUCCCUAAAAUCAUCAGAUUCCCCCUCAAAAUUGCUGGGAUUUGGACCCAACAUUCCUGUGCUUUUCUCCCCCAAAAUUCCCACGGUUUAUCCCCCCAAAAUCUCCGAAUUUCAGGAUUUCACCCCAAAAGUUGCUACUGUUUUUCCUAAAUCUUGGGGUCCCCCCAAAUUCUGUCUCCCCCCCUUCAAUUUUGGGCCCCCCAGGUGCAAAUGGGGCAAUUGGGGGGGGGGGCACAACCCCUCCUCCCCAACACUCUCAGAGCUGGGGAGGGGAGAUUUGGGGGGGGUUGUAUUUAUUUUAGGGGGUUUGUAUUUAUUUUGGGGGGUUUGUAUUUAUUUCAGCGUUUUAUUUAUUUUGGGGGAUUUAUUUAUUUUGGGGUGUAUUUAUUUGAGGGCGGGUAUUUAUUUGUGA
rnacentral:lncRNA from 13 species